UGUAACGCAACUUACGUCACGCGUGCGUUUACGUAGACCAUGCGUGUCUCAAGCGAAGGAUGAACGGAGGUUAACUUAAUAAAGGAGGAUAAGAGCAAUAAAUGAUGGACGCGCAGAUAGAUUUGCAUGGACCGCUUGGUGUAGAACCGACAGCUUCUAUAUCAGAGAACUUGGACCUGCAUCGUAGACGCAGGCCUUGACAUUGGAGAGCCUACGUUUCCUGCAACUGUACACUUUAACAGCACGUCAUGCGCGUCCCUCAGUCUUUCUUCCGCACCCGAUACACCCACGCAGCGGGCAAGGAUGUCGCACGAAAGCUCUAUAUUGGCUAAUUUAAGGAGAGCACAGGAGCGCAAACGGCUUCUAGAGGAAUUGCAGAUGCAGGAAAAACCUUGAUCCCGGUAUUGAGAGACCUCGUAUGAGUUUGUGUAUUUAUUUUUUUCUAUGUGAGAAAUAUAUAUAUAUAUAUAAUGAU